rnacentral:rRNA from 1 species
GUGAGGAAUAUUGGGCAAUGGGCGAAAGCCUGACCCAGCCACGCCGCGUGAGUGAUGAAGGCCUUCGGGUUGUAAAGCUCAGUGGGGAGGGAAGAAAAAGCGGGAGAGUAACUGCUCUCGUGUUGACGGUACCUCCUUAGCAAGCACCGGCUAACUCUGUGCCAGCAGCCGCGGUAAUACAGAGGGUGCAAACGUUGCUCGGAAUUACUGGGCGUAAAGCGCGUGUAGGCUGACAUGCAAGUCGGGUGUGAAAUCCCAGGGCUCAACCUUGGAACUGCACUCGAAACUGCACGGCUUGAGUACUGGAGAGGGAAGCGGAAUUCCGGGUGUAGAGGUGAAAUUCGUAGAUAUCCGGAGGAACACCAGUGGCGAAGGCGGCUUCCUGGACAGUAACUGACGCUGAGACGCGAAAGCGUGGGGAGCAAACAGGAUUAGAUACCCUAGUAGUCC